GGACGAACGCUGGCGGCGUGCUUAACACAUGCAAGUCGAACGGUGAAGCGCCUUCCUUUUUGGUGGGUGUGGAUGAGUGGCGAACGGGUGAGUAACACGUGAGUAACCUGCCCCCUUCUUCUGGAUAACCGCAUGAAAGUGUGGCUAAUACGGGAUAUUCUGGGUCUGUCGCAUGAUGGGUCUGGGAAAGAUAUUGUUUCGGUGGGGGAUGGGCUCGCGGCCUAUCAGCUUGUUGGUGGGGUGAUGGCCUACCAAGGCGGUGACGGGUAGCCGGCCUGAGAGGGUGGACGGUCACACUGGGACUGAGACACGGCCCAGACUCCUACGGGAGGCAGCAGUGGGGAAUAUUGCACAAUGGGCGCAAGCCUGAUGCAGCGACGCCGCGUGAGGGAUGGAGGCCUUCGGGUUGUGAACCUCUUUCGCCAGUGAAGCAGGCCUGCCUCGUUUGUGGGUGGGUUGACGGUAGCUGGAUAAGAAGCGCCGGCUAACUACGU
rnacentral:rRNA from 1 species